UACGGAGGGUGCAAGCGUUGUCCGGAAUCACUGGGCGUAAAGAGCUCGUAGGCGGCCUGUUGCGUCCGCUGUGAAAGCCCGGGGCUUAACCCCGGGUCUGCAGUGGAUACGGGCAGGCUAGAGGUAGGUAGGGGAGAAUGGAAUUCCCGGUGUAGCGGUGAAAUGCGCAGAUAUCGGGAGGAACACCGGUGGCGAAGGCGGUUCUCUGGGCCUUACCUGACGCUGAGGAGCGAAAGCGUGGGGAGCGAACAGG
rnacentral:rRNA from 1 species